GACGAACGCUGGCGGCGUGCUUAACACAUGCCAGUCGAACGAUGACGACCGAGCUUGCUCGGUCUGAUUAGUGGCGAACGGGUGAGUAACACGUGAGCAACCUGCCCUUCACUCUGGGAUAACCUCGGGAAAUCGGGGCUAAUACCGGAUAUGAGCUCCUGUCGCAUGGCGGGUGUUGGAAAGUUUUUCGGUGAAGGAUGGGCUCGCGGCCUAUCAGUUUGUUGGUGGGGUAGUGGCUCACCAAGGCGAUGACGGGUAGCCGGCCUGAGAGGGCGACCGGCCACACUGGGACUGAGACACGGCCCAGACUCCUACGGGAGGCAGCAGUGGGGAAUAUUGCACAAUGGGCGAAAGCCUGAUGCAGCGACGCCGCGUGAGGGAUGACGGCCUUCGGGUUGUAAACCUCUUUCAGCAGGGAAGAAGCGAAAGUGACGGUACCUGCAGAAGAAGCGCCGGCUAACUACGUG
rnacentral:rRNA from 1 species